UAUAACAAAAAACCCUAAACUGAGUGGCUUAUAAACAACAAAAACUUAUUUCUCACAGUUCUGGAAGCUGGGAAUUCCAAGAUCAGGCACCAGUAGAUACAGUGUCUGGUGAAAGCCUGCUUCCUUGUUCA